rnacentral:rRNA from 1 species
AGCAUUACCAGNAUUAGAGGCACUGCCUGCCCAGUGACAUCAGUUAAACGGCCGCGGUAUCCUGACCGUGCAAAGGUAGCAUAAUCAUUUGUUCCUUAAUUAGGGACUUGUAUGAAUGGCCACACGAGGGUUUAACUGUCUCUUACUUUUUAUCAGUGAAAUUGACCUCCCCGUGAAGAGGCGGGGAUAUAACAAUAAGACGAGAAGACCCUAUGGAGCUUAAAUUGACCUGCCCAACAAACCUAAAAGCAACCCGACAGGAAUAAUAUCAUUUUAACUGGGCAACAAAUUUUGGUUGGGGUGACCUCGGAGUAUAACUCAACCUCCGAGUGUUCUAAACUAAGACCUACAUGUCAAAGUGACAACACUUAUUGAUCCAAUCUUAUUGAUCAACGGACCAAGUUACCCUAGGGAUAACAGCGCAAUCCCAUUUAAGAGUUCAUAUCGCCAAUGGGGUUUACGACCUCGAUGUUGGAUCAGGACACCCAAAUGGUGCAGCAGCUAUUAAAGGUUCGUUU